AUUGAACGCUGGCGGCAGGCCUAACACAUGCAAGUCGAGCGAGCGGCGGAUGGGUGAGGAAUGUAUGGGGACUGCCCGAUAGAGGGGGAUAACUACUGGAAACGGUGGCUAAUACCGCCUAAUAUUGGAGAAUCCAUAUGGGAUUAGCUAGUAGGUGGGGGAAAGGCGUACCUAGGCGACGAUCUCUAGCUGGUCUGAGAGGAUGAUCAGCCACACUGCGACUGAGACAAGGCCCAGACUCCUACGGAGGCAGCAGUGGGGCAUAUUGCGCAAUGGGCGCAAGCCUGUUUCAGCCAUGCCGCGUGUAUGAAGAGGGCCUUAGGGUUGUAAAGUACUUUCAGCGGCGAGGCGUUACCCGCAGAAGAAGCACCGGCUAACUCCGUGCCAGCAGCCGCGGUAAUAC
rnacentral:rRNA from 1 species